CUCCCCAAACCAGAACCCGAUCUCUCCCCAAACCAGAAUCCGUCUCCCUCUCCCUUUCUCGUCGUGACCCCAAUCACCGCCGCCCCAAACCCGACUCCCUCUCAGAUCGGCCAUCUCCUCUCUCUCAGAUCGGCCAUAUCCAAGCUCGUGACCCCAAGCACCGCCACGCCCAGAUCGAGAUCCCUAGCAUUGGGUCAAAACAAUUGCAUUCAGGGGGUCUGUCUGAAACAAUGGAACUACAGCAAAGUAAGUUCAAUUUGGCAAUAGCACUUGGAUCUAGCUAUAUGUAAUUAUACCAAAACUGCGAAAGGUAGCACAGAUGGAGCCAAGCAAGACUAUGUUCAUGUGAGAGCGCGACGAGGUUAGGAGAGAAAGGAUUAGCGAACGGAUGAAGUAUCUUCAAGACCUUGUGCCUGGUUAUAGUAAAGUCACUGGGUAGGCGGUAAUGCUUGAUGAGAUUAUCAAUUAUGUUCAAUCAUUACAACUGCAGGUUGAGUUCCUGUCUAUGAAGCUUGUGGCUGUUAAUCCAAGUAUUGAGUUAAACAUAGAACGACUUCUGUCUGAAAAUGUAAGUUCUCAUCUUUAAAUAUCAGAGUGAAUAAAUCUUGAGAUGCUGACCAAACAAACAUAUCUGUAACAUAAUAUCUAACUAGAGUAGAGUUGUUUGCACUAAAUAACUUUACCUCAUUUUUAUGUCGUAAAAUAGAGCGUGAUACAUAUCAAAAGUGUGGUUAGAGCAUGUGUGAACAACGUUUUUCUACACAUGUGCGAAUGUGUCGCAAAACUAACGACAUAUAUAUAUGUUGAAAGUGGUGACAAAUACAUGUGUCACAAAACUCUUGACACAUACAUAUGUCAAGAGUGGUGUCUCAUUCAGAGGGGUGUUAAAUGGGUGAGUUUGGGUAUUAAAUGGGUGGGCCAUAAAUGGGUGGGCAUGUUUUGCUCAUUUACCCAUUUAUGGCCCAUUUAAUAUUUUCUAAAUAGGCGGGUUUUUGCCCACCCAUUUAAUAAAGAGGUAACACAUGUUUCCAU